UACCCGCAGCCCAAGUGGCGAUCGCUAUUAUUGGGCCUAAAACGUCCGUAGCCGGUUCUAUAAAUGCCUGGGUAAAUCGUACGGCUUAACCGUACGAAUUCCGGGUAGACUGUUCAACUUGGGACCGGGAUAGGCUAGAGGUACUCCUGGGGUAGAGGUGAAAUUCUGUAAUCCUAGGGGGGACCACCAGUGGCGAAGGCGUCUAGCUAGAACGGGUCUGACGGUGAGGGACGAAGCCUUGGGGAGCAAACGGGAUUAGAUACCCCGGUAGUCCAGGGUGUAAACGCUGCUCGCUUGAUGUUAGUCGGGCUCCGAGCCCAACUAGUGUCGGAGAGAAGUUGUUAAGCGAGCUGCCUGGGAAGUACGGUCGCAAGACUGAAACUUAAGGAAUUGGCGGGGGAGCACCGCAACGGGUGGAGCGUGCGGUUU
rnacentral:rRNA from 1 species